rnacentral:rRNA from 1 species
CCAGUAGCUGCGAGCGAACAGGGAAGAGCCCAGCACCGAAUCCCGCGGCCGAUACCGGACGCCGGGAAAUGUGGUGUUCGGGAGGAUCCGUUUAUCCCGAGGUUGCGCGGCGCGUCCAAGUCCUUCUUGAACGGGGCCACAGCCCAUAGAGGGUGCCAGGCCCGUAGCGACCGCUGCCGAUCGCGGGAGGAUCUCUCCUCAGAGUCGGGUUGCUUGAGAGUGCAGCCCUAAGUGGGUGGUAAACUCCAUCUAAGGCUAAAUAUGACCACGAGACCGAUAGCGAACAAGUACCGUGAGGGAAAGUUGAAAAGCACUUUGAAGAGAGAGUUCAAGAGUACGUGAAACCGUUCAGGGGUAAACCUGAGAAACCCGAAAGGUCGAAAGGGGAAAUUCAUUCGCGUCUCGGACGUGUCUGGAUCGAAUCGAGCGUUGGCUUUAUAGGCACGGUGCGACGGCGUUCUCGCGUCGAUCACACCCUUCGUUCAUCGAACCGGCGUCGAACGCGUGCACUUUUCCCCUAGUAGGACGUCGCGAUCCGUUGAGUGUCGGUCUAAGGUCCGCGGUGGAGCCCGUACGGACGUUUCACGACGUGCCGCGCGGACCCGCGGUAUAUCCCGACCGACUCGCUCGACGGUACACUUAUGGCGCGGGGCCGCUAUUUUUAGCGUUCGGCCUGCGGCAAGCGCGUUCGGUGUUUGACGGCGAUCGGACCUGGUGCCGAUCCUGUUCCCGGACGACUGUUGGCCGCGGUGUUCUCGAACGGACCUCGUAUUCGACGAUCUUUCGAUCGUCGAAACGCCGAUCUGCGACGCUAUAGCUUUGGGUACUUUCAGGAUAGCAUGUGCGCGAGUCAUUGGGACAUAACUAAACCUAAAGGCGUAAUGAAAGUGAAGGUCCACUUCGCGUGGACCGAGGGAGGAUGGGCUCGGCACAACCCGAACAAACGGGUGGCCCCCCCGCACUCCCGGGGCGUCUCGUUCUCAUCGCGAGAAGAGGCGCACCAAGAGCGUACACGCUGGGACCCGAAAGAUGGUGAACUAUGCCUGGUCAGGACGAAGUCAGGGGAAACCCUGAUGGAGGUCCGUAGCGAUUCUGACGUGCAAAUCGAUCGUCGGAACUGGGUAUAGGGGCGAAAGACUAAUCGAACCAUCUAGUAGCUGGUUCCCUCCGAAGUUUCCCUCAGGAUAGCUGGCGCUCGUAGCUCACGAGUCUCAUCCGGUAAAGCGAAUGAUUAGAGGCAUUGGGGUCGAAACGACCUCAACCUAUUCUCAAACUUUAAAUGGGUGAGAUCUCCGGCUUGCUCGAGAAUACAUGAAGCCGUGAGAAUAACGGAUCAGA